AUUGAACGCUGGCGGCAGGCCUAACACAUGCAAGUCGAGCGGGGUUUUCGGACCUAGCGGCGGACGGGUGAGUAAUGCGUAGGAAGCUACCCGAUAGAGGGGGAUACCAGUUGGAAACGACUGUUAAUACCGCAUAAUGUCUACGGACCAAAGUGUGGGACCUUCGGGCCACAUGCUAUCGGAUGCGCCUACGUGGGAUUAGCUAGUUGGUGAGGUAAUGGCUCACCAAGGCGACGAUCCCUAGCUGGUUUGAGAGGAUGAUCAGCCACACUGGAACUGAGACACGGUCCAGACUCCUACGGGAGGCAGCAGCGGGGAAUAUUGGACAAUGGGCGCAAGCCUGAUCCAGCCAUGCCGCGUGUGUGAAGAAGGCCUUCGGGUUGUAAAGCACUUUCAGUAGGGAGGAAGCGUUGUGUGUUAAUAGUACACAGCGUCGACGUUACCUACAGAAGAAGCACCGGCUAACUCUGUGCCAGCCGCCGCAGUAAAAC
rnacentral:rRNA from 1 species